rnacentral:rRNA from 1 species
GAUGAACGCUAGCGGCAGGCUUAACACAUGCAAGUCGAGGGGUAGGAGAAGCUUGCUUUUCUGAGACCGGCGCACGGGUGCGUAACGCGUAUGCAAUCUACCUUUCACAGAGGGAUAGCCCAGAGAAAUUUGGAUUAAUACCUCAUAGUAUAAUUGAAUGGCAUCAUUUAAUUAUUAAAGAUUUAUCGGUGAAAGAUGAGCAUGCGUCCCAUUAGCUAGUUGGUAUGGUAACGGCAUACCAAGGCAACGAUGGGUAGGGGUCCUGAGAGGGAGAUCCCCCACACUGGUACUGAGACACGGACCAGACUCCUACGGGAGGCAGCAGUGAGGAAUAUUGGACAAUGGGCGCAAGCCUGAUCCAGCCAUGCCGCGUGCAGGAUGACGGUCCUAUGGAUUGUAAACUGCUUUUAUACAGGAAGAAACACUCCCUCGUGAGGGAGCUUGACGGUACUGUAAGAAUAAGGAUCGGCUAACUCCGUGCCAGCAGCCGCGGUAAUACGGAGGAUCCAAGCGUUAUCCGGAAUCAUUGGGUUUAAAGGGUCCGUAGGCGGUCAGGUAAGUCAGUGGUGAAAGCCCAUCGCUCAACGGUGGAACGGCCAUUGAUACUGUCUGACUUGAAUUAUUAGGAAGUAACUAGAAUAUGUAGUGUAGCGGUGAAAUGCUUAGAGAUUACAUGGAAUACCAAUUGCGAAGGCAGGUUACUACUAAUUGAUUGACGCUGAUGGACGAAAGCGUGGGUAGCGAACAGGAUUAGAUACCCUGGUAGUCCACGCCGUAAACGAUGGAUACUAGCUGUUGGGAGCAAUCUCAGUGGCUAAGCGAAAGUGAUAAGUAUCCCACCUGGGGAGUACGAACGCAAGUUUGAAACUCAAAGGAAUUGACGGGGGCCCGCACAAGCGGUGGAGCAUGUGGUUUAAUUCGAUGAUACGCGAGGAACCUUACCAAGGCUUAAAUGUAGAUUGACCGUUUUGGAAACAGAAC